rnacentral:rRNA from 1 species
GUACUGUAUUGGACUACCGUGGCAGUGACGGGUAACGGGGAAUUAGGGUUCGAUUCCGGAGAGGGAGCCUGAGAAACGGCUACCACAUCUAAGGAAGGCAGCAGGCGCGCAAAUUACCCAAUCCUGAUUCAGGGAGGUAGUGACAAGAAAUAACAACACUGGAAAUUUCAUUUCUAGUGAUUGGAAUGAUAGGAAUCCAAACCCCUUUCAGAGUAACAAUUGGAGGGCAAGUCUGGUGCCAGCAGCCGCGGUAAUUCCAGCUCCAAUAGCGUAUAUUAAAGUUGUUGCAGUUAAAAAG